UAAACGACUCUCGGCAACGGAUAUCUCGGCUCUCGCAUCGAUGAAGAACGUAGCGAAAUGCGAUACUUGGUGUGAAUUGCAGAAUCCCGUGAACCAUCGAGUCUUUGAACGCAAGUUGCGCCCGAAGCCUUGGCUGAGGGCACGCCUGCCUGGGGGUCACACGU
rnacentral:rRNA from 1 species